AUUGAACGCUGGCGGCAGGCUUAACACAUGCAAGUCGAACGAGUGGCGGACGGGUGAGUAAUGCUUGGGAAUCUAGCUUAUGGAGGGGGAUACCUACGGGAAACUGUAGCUAAUACCGCGUACCAUAGGAUGAGCCCAGGUGGGAUUAGGUAGUUGGUGAGGUAAAGGCUAACAAAGCCGACGAUCUAUAGCUGGUCUGAGAGGAUGACCAGCCACACUGGAACUGAGACACGGCCCAGACUCCUACGGGAGGAAGCAGUGGGGAAUAGUGCGCAAGGGGAGCAAGCGGACGCAGCCAUGCCGCGUGAAUGAAGAAGGCCUUCGGGUUGUAAAGUUCUUUCAGUAGCGAGGCGUUAACUACAGAAGAAGCACCGGCUAACUCCGUGCCAGCAGCCGCGGUAAUAC
rnacentral:rRNA from 1 species